rnacentral:rRNA from 1 species
GUAGGUGGCAAGCGUUGUCCGGGAAUUAUUGGGGCGUAAAGCGCGCGCAGGCGGUUCUUUAAGUCUGAUGUGAAAGCCCACGGGCUCAACCGUGGAGGGUCAUUGGAAACUGGAGAACUUGAGUACAGAAGAGGGAAGCGGAAUUCCACGUGUAGCGGUGAAAUGCGUAGAGAUGUGGAGGGACACCAGUGGCGAAGGCGGCUUUCUGGUCUGUAACUGACGCUGAGGCGCGAAAGCGUGGGGAGCAAACAGGAUUAGAUACCCUGGUAGUCCACGCCGUAAACGAUGAGUGCUAAGUGUUAGGGGGUUUCCGCCCCUUAGUGCUGCAGCUAACGCAUUAAGCACUCCGCCUGGGGAGUACGGCCGCAAAGGCUGA